ensembl:lncRNA
CUACCCCUAAUAUAGCGUGGUGGGAGAGCCGAAGGAAUACUUAUUGAAGUAGUCACAACGACGACAUCACUAGCUAGGCCGCAUAUUCCAUCGCCAGAUCCGAACCAAGCGAAGUGAAGGAAGACGGGUGUCCUUUUCGUACACUGAGUGUGGUGGGUGAGUCUUCAUGCUGUGAAAACCUAUAAUUUUGACGUGGUGCUGUAUAUUGCUGUGGGCUGCUGUGUAUUGCCGUGUGUCCUGUCAGAUAAACCCCCGCCUUCACGCACUUCGUCGCGGGAGGACAAGGAGACUGCUGGUCCUAGCCUAGUUCAGUACAGUAUAUGUUGUGAGCGUGCUUCAGAUCUCCGGAGAUAGCACGGUACGCUGUGUCCAGCCCAGAGGUGAAAGCCAUCCAAAGCAGAGUAACUGUGCUUUGUGUCCAAGUUGAUACCUGUGGAGAGAAAAGGAAAGAGAGAGUGAGUAACACAAGGAGAACCAGAGGGAACCUGUACUUACAGUACGCUGUGUUCAGCCCAGAGGUGAGAGCCAUUCAAAGCAAACUAACUGUGUUAUUGUGCCCAAGUUGAUACCUGUGGAGAGAAAAGGAGAGAGAGUGGGUAACACGAGGAGAGACCGAGGAAACCUGUACUUACGCCGCUGCCUGUGGAGAAAGAGAAAGCGACCGUUGCCUGUGGAGGAAGAGAAAGAGACCGUUGCCUGUGGAGGAAGAGAAAGAGAGUGAGCACCUCGAGAACGAACUGUGUGAACCAGUACUUACCGUGAGCUGUAUUCAGCGAAGAGGAGGAAGAAGGAGGGCGCUACGGAUACCUAAGACUCAGGCCGGGGCCCGAGUCCCACGCCCCGGAUCCCCGUGGCCCCCUUGCUCCCUGACCUCUUCCCGGCCAUAGCCCAUCUGGAGGGCCGAGUCAGAGUUUAGUUUUAAUUGCCCUUUCCCUAUUCCCCAAG